rnacentral:Y_RNA from 1 species
GGCUAGUCCAAUGGUAAUGGGUUAUCAGAACUUAUUAGAACAACAUUAGUGUCACUAAAAUUGGUAUACAAACCCCCACUGCUAAAUUUGACUGGCUUAAA